AGCGAACGCUGGCGGCAGGCCUAACACAUGCAAGUCGAACGGAUCCUUCGGGAUUAGUGGCGGACGGGUGAGUAACACGUGGGAACGUGCCCUUUGGUUCGGAACAACUCAGGGAAACUUGAGCUAAUACCGGAUGUGCCCUUCGGGGGAAAGAUUUAUCGCCAUUGGAGCGGCCCGCGUCUGAUUAGCUAGUUGGUGAGGUAAAGGCUCACCAAGGCGACGCUCAGUAGCUAGUCUGAGAGGAUGAUCAGCCACAUUGGGACUGAGACACGGCCCAAACUCCGACGGGAGGCAGCAGUGGGGAAUCUUGCGCAAUGGGCGAAAGCCUGACGCAGCCAUGCCGCGUGAAUGAUGAAGGUCUUAGGAUUGUAAAAUUCUUUCACCGGGGACGAUAAUGACGGUACCCGGAGAAGAAGCCCCGGCUAACUUCGUGCCAGCCGCCGCGGUAACAC
rnacentral:rRNA from 1 species